GAUGAACGCUGGCGGCAUGCCUAACACAUGCAAGUCGAUCGGUAAGGCUCUUCGGAGUACACGAGAGGCGGACGGCUGAGUAACGCGUAGGAACACACCCUGCAGUGAGGGAUCAGACACCGAAAGGUGUUCUAAUACCGCAUACGGUCUUCGGAUUAAAGCAUUUAUGCGCUGAAGGAGUGGCCUGCGUCAUAUUAGAUAGUUGGUGAGGUAAUGGCUCACCAAGUCGAUGAUGUGUAGCUGGUCUGAGAGGAUGAUCAGCCAGACUGGAACUGAGACACGGUCCAGACUCCUACGGGAGGCAGCAGUGAGGAAUAUUUCACAAUGAGCGAAAGCUUGAUGGAGCAAUGCCGCGUGCAGGAUGAAGGCCCUCGGGUUGUAAACUGCUUUUAUAAGAGAAGAUUAUGACGGUAACUUAUGAAUAAGGGACGGCUAACUACGUG
rnacentral:rRNA from 1 species